CGGCAUUUGAGUUAUGACGGCAAUCCGCAGUUGUUUCAUGACGCGAACGAGGCGUUUCAUAACGCGAUCUAUGCAGGCUCCCAGAAUGGGUAUGUCGCCGAAAUGACUUUGGCGACGCGGGUUCGCGUUCAGCCAUUCAGGCGGGCGCAGUUCCGCAAUCUCGGCCGCCUUGCGAAAUCCUAUGUCGAGCACGACAGGGUCGUCGUCGCCAUCAUGCGCGGCGAUAAGGCGGGAG
rnacentral:misc_RNA from 1 species